rnacentral:antisense_RNA from 1 species
CUUCACCGAACCCAGCCACAGCGGAUCGCCCACCCGGUCCUGGCCGUAGGUGGCGAGCAACGCCUGCGCCUC